rnacentral:rRNA from 1 species
GACGAACGCUGGCGGCGUGCUUAACACAUGCAAGUCGAACGGAAAGGCCCUGCUUUUGUGGGGUGCUCGAGUGGCGAACGGGUGAGUAACACGUGAGUAACCUGCCCUUGACUUUGGGAUAACUUCAGGAAACUGGGGCUAAUACCGGAUAGGAGCUCCUGCUGCAUGGUGGGGGUUGAAAGUUUCGGCGGUUGGGGAUGGACUCGCGGCUUAUCAGCUUGUUGGUGGGGUAGUGGCUUACCAAGGCUUUGACGGGUAGCCGGCCUGAGAGGGUGACCGGCCACAUUGGGACUGAGAUACGGCCCAGACUCCUACGGGAGGCAGCAGUGGGGAAUAUUGCACAAUGGGCGGAAGCCUGAUGCAGCAACGCCGCGUGCGGGAUGACGGCCUUCGGUUUGUAUACCGCUUUCGCCUGUGACGAAGCGUGAGUGACGGUAAUGGGUAAAGAAGCACCGGCUAACUACGUG